UACGUAGGAUGCAAGCGUUAUCCGGAAUGAUUGGGCGUAAAGCGUCCGCAGGUGGCAGUUCAAGUCUGCUGUCAAAGACCGGGGCUUAACUUCGGAAAGGCAGUGGAAACUGAACAGCUAGAGUAUGGUAGGGGCAGAGGGAAUUCCUGGUGUAGCGGUGAAAUGCGUAGAUAUCAGGAGGAACACCGGUGGCGAAGGCGGGUCUCUGGGCCGAUACUGACGCUGAGGAGCGAAAGCGUGGGGAGCGAACAGG
rnacentral:rRNA from 1 species